GACGAACGCUGGCGGCGUGCUUAACACAUGCAAGUCGAGCGGUAAGGCCCUUUCGGGGGUACGACGAGCGGCGAACGGGUGAGUAACACGUGGGUGACCUGCCCUCAGCUCUGGGAUAAGCCUGGGAAACCGGGUACUAAUACCGGAUAUGACUCCAUGACGCAUGUUGUGGGGUGGAAAGCCUUGUGCGGCUGAGGAUGGGCCCGCGGCCUAUCAGCUUGUUGGUGGGGUGAUGGCCUACCAAGGCGACGACGGGUAGCCGGCCUGAGAGGGCGACCGGCCACACUGGGACUGAGACACGGCCCAGACUCCUACGGGAGGCAGCAGUGGGGAAUCUUGCGCAAUGGGCGAAAGCCUGACGCAGCGACGCCGCGUGAGGGAUGACGGCCUGG
rnacentral:rRNA from 1 species